CUUCGGGGAGUACAUCAGCGGCAGACGGGUGAGUAACACGUAGAUAACCUGCCCUCAAGACGGGGACAAGCGGUGGAAACAGCGGCUAAUACCCGAUAUGCUCACAGGAUCGGGAGAUCGAAUGAGGAAAGGCUUCGGUGCUUGAGGAGGGAUCUGCGGCCCAUCAGCUAGUUGGUGAGGUAACGGCUCACCAAGGCGAAGACGGGUAGGGGGUGUGAGAGCAUGGCCCCCCACAAUGGGACUGAGACACGGGCCAUACUCCGACGGGAGGCAGCAGCGGGGAAUAUUGCGCAAUGGACGGAAGUCAGACGCAGCGACGCCGCGUGGGUGAGGAAGGCCUUCGGGUUGUAAAGCCCUUUUCAGGGGAGCGAGAAAGGACGGUACCCUUGGAAUAAGCGUCGGCUAACUACGUGCCAGCAGCCGCGGUAAGACGUAGGACGCAAGCGUUAUCCGGAUUUACUGGGCGUAAAGCGCCUGUAGGCGGUCAAGUAAGUCGGAUGUGAAAGCCCCGUGCUCAACGCGGGGAAGCCAUUCGAUACUGCGUGACUAGAGAACGGCAGAGGGAAACGGAAUUUCUGGUGUAGCGGUAAAAUGCGCAGAGAUCAGAAAGAACACCGAUGGCGAAGGCAGUUUCCUAGGCCGCAUCUGACGCUGAGAGGCGCAAGCUAGGGGAGCAAACCGGAU
rnacentral:rRNA from 1 species